GCCUCUGUAGCUCAAUGGAUAGAGCGAUUCCGUCCUAAGGAAGAGGUUGGGGGUUCGACUCCCUCCAGGGGCG
rnacentral:tRNA from 1 species